AGCGACUUGGCGCAGGCGGCGAGCGCAUGAGUCUCAUAAUCUCAAGGUCGUUGGAUCGAAACCAACAGUCGCUA
rfam:Salpingoeca sp. ATCC 50818 unplaced genomic scaffold supercont1.17, whole genome shotgun sequence.